AGAGUCGGCUGAAGCGAGUUGCCGCGUUCUCUCUGGCGGCGCGACACCGGCCCGUGGACCGCCCGGCCGCCCUCCAGGACCCGGUCUGCAGGAGCGGAGAGGGCGGUGUGGACACCGCCUGCAGGGAUACCCACCCACCAUCCCAGGGUCUACAACAUCCACAGCCGGACCGUCACCCGCUAUCCUGCCAACUCUAUCGUGGUCGUGGGAGGCUGUCCCGUCUGCAGGGUUGGGGUGCUGGAGGAUUGCUUCACCUUCCUGGGCAUCUUCCUGGCCAUCAUCCUCUUCCCCUUUGGGUUCAUUUGCUGUUUUGCCUUGAGGAAGCGACGAUGCCCCAACUGUGGAGCCACCUUCGCUUAAAGGGAACACCAGGCCCGGCUUUCCUACACCCAGCUCUCUUUUUCUAAUGUAAAUGUUGUGUACAAUAGUUUUAUUUGAUUAAGCUUCAGGACUGUUUUGUAAAGCGAGGUGGGACCGAUGUGGCACACGCCAGCUGCGGUUUCCCGGAGCGUGGAGAGGCAGCGCUGCUGCUCCCGCCCGAGGCUUAUGACAACUCAAUAAAGCACUGCUUUUAUUUUUUGCAGUCUUCAAUUUGAGAAAGGUGAGAAAUAAUGUUUUCAAUAAAUGAGAUUCAUACCAUUGUUGACCUGGUGCUGCUUACUCGGUGCUUUCAGACACCCAGGAAAGACUGGAACGACGACCCCAUCGCUCCC
rnacentral:lncRNA from 1 species